rnacentral:rRNA from 1 species
GACGAACGCUGGCGGCGUGCCUAAUACAUGCAAGUUGAGCGCUGAAGGUUGGUACUUGUACCAACUGGAUGAGCAGCGAACGGGUGAGUAACGCGUGGGGAAUCUGCCUUUGAGCGGGGGACAACACUUGGAAACGAAUGCUAAUACCGCAUAAAAACUUUAAACACAAGUUUUAAGUUUGAAAGAUGCAAUUGCAUCACUCAAAGAUGAUCCCGCGUUGUAUUAGCUAGUUGGUGAGGUAAAGGCUCACCAAGGCGAUGAUACAUAGCCGACCUGAGAGGGUGAGCGGCCACAUUGGGACUGAGACACGGCCCAAACUCCUACGGGAGGCAGCAGUAGGGAAUCUUCGGCAAUGGACGAAAGUCUGACCGAGCAACGCCGCGUGAGUGAAGAAGGUUUUCGGAUCGUAAAACUCUGUUGGUAGAGAAGAACGUUGGUGAGAGUGGAAAGCUCAUCAAGUGACGGUAACUACCCAGAAAGGGACGGCUAACUACGUG